UACGCGCGGAGUGGCCAUAGAGCUGGCAA
rnacentral:sRNA from 1 species